rnacentral:rRNA from 1 species
AAAAAUUCAAAGUCAGGUCUGCUCACUGAAUUAUUUUAAAGAGCCGCAGUAUAUUGACUGUGCAAAGGUAGCAUAAACAAUAGUUUUUUAAUUGGAAACUAGAAUGAAAGAUUAGACGAAAAAUUAAUUUUCUUUGUUUUAAUAAAUUUAAUUUUAAAUUUAAGUGAAAAUGCUUAAAUAAAAUUAAAAGACGAGAAGACCCUAUAGAUUUUUAUUGUUGAAAUAAAUUUUUAAAUUUAAUUUAAUAAAAUAAUUUAAUUGGGGCGAUUUUAUAAUAUAAAUAACUUAAUUUUUUUAAACCAUAAAUAAUUGAAUAUUUGAUCUAAAAUUUUUAAAGAAAAGAUUAAAUUACCUUAGGGAUAACAGCGUAAUUUUAUUUAAGAGUUCAUAUCUAUAAUAAAGUUUGCGACCUCGAUGUUGAAUUAAGAUAAUAUAUUGGAGUAGAAAUUAAUAUAAUUAGUCUGUUCGACUAUUAAAUUCUUACGUGAUCUG